UGCCUGAUGCGCGAUGAUGUCAUUCCCAUAUCACCACCUCCUUGAAUCCUGUUCUAAUGUGAGUGAUGCAGAGUUCAGGGUGGAUGUGGCCUGGGAUUGAACAGGUGAGCUUCUAUGGCCA
rnacentral:precursor_RNA from 18 species